rnacentral:rRNA from 1 species
CCUACGGGAGGCAGCAGUGAGGAAUAUUGGUCAAUGGCCGGAAGGCUGAACCAGCCAAGCCGCGUGAAGGACGAAGGUGCCAAGCAUUGUAAACUUCUUUUGUCAAGGGACAAAAUCAGGCUCGAGAGCCUGACCGAGGGUACUUGAAGAAAAAGCAUCGGCUAACUCCGUGCCAGCAGCCGCGGUAAUAGGGAGGAUGCGAGCGUUAUCCGGAUUUAUUGGGUUUAACGGGUGCGUAGGCGGACUGUUAAGUCAGCGGUAAAAUCCCGGGGCUCAACCCCGGCGAGCCGUUGAAACUGGCUGUCUUGAGAGGGCGAGAGGUAUGCGGAAUGCGCAGUGUAGCGGUGAAAUGCGUAGAGAUUGCGCAGAACGCCGAUGGCGAAGGCAGCAUACCGGCGGCGAUCUGACGCUGAGGCACGAAAGCGUGGGUAUCGAACAGGAUUAGAUACCCCAGUAGUC